AUACGGAGGAUCCGAGCGUUAUCCGGAUUUAUUGGGCUUAAAGGGAGCGUAGGUGGAUUGUUAAGUCAGUUGUGAAAGUUUGCGGCUCAACCGUAAAAUUGCAGUUGAAACUGGCAGUCUUGAGUACAGUAGAGGUGGGCGGAAUUCGUGGUGUAGCGGUGAAAUGCUUAGAUAUCACGAAGAACUCCGAUUGCGAAGGCAGCUCACUAGACUGUUACUGACACUGAUGCUCGAAAGUGUGGGUAUCAAACAGGAUUAGAUACCCUGGUAGUCCACACAGUAAACGAUGAAUACUCGCUGUUUGCGAUAUACAGUAAGCGGCCAAGCGAAAGCAUUAAGUAUUCCACCUGGGGAGUACGCCGGCAACGGUGAAACUCAAAUGAAUUGGCGGGG
rnacentral:rRNA from 1 species